GACGAACGCUGGCGGCGUGCUUAACACAUGCAAGUCGAGCGGUAAGGCCCUUUCGGGGUACGACGAGCGGCGAACGGGUGAGUAACACGUGGGUGACCUGCCCUUAGCUCUGGGAUAAGCCUGGGAAACUGGGUCUAAUACCGGAUAUGACUCCAUGACGCAUGUUGUGGGGUGGAAAGCCUUGUGCGGCUAGGGAUGGGCCUGCGGCCUAUCAGCUUGCUGGUGGGGUGAGGCCUACCAAGGCGACGACGGGUAGCCGGCCUGAGAGGGCGACCGGCCACACUGGGACUGAGACACGGCCCAGACUCCUACGGGAGGCAGCAGUGGGGAAUCUUGCGCAAUGGGCGAAAGCCUGACGCAGCGACGCCGCGUGGGGAUGACGGCC
rnacentral:rRNA from 1 species